AAUAGGACGAAGAGAGAUAUGGGCAGUAGAUGGUGGUGAAGCAAAAGAUAUUGGUGCACAGAUCGCACCUAUCGUUAAACUUGAAGAAGUUUAUACUGGUGAAGAGGCUCUUAUUUAAAUCUCAAUGAUUUAGUUUUCUAAUUCGAAUUUGAUUUGGUUUUUAUUUUUUUGGUUUUUUGUUUUUGAUUGUGUGUAGAAAAGAGAAACUAUACCGAUUUGAUAAAGAUGAAAAUCAUUAGAAAGAUGAGUUGAAACUUUGAAGAUUCUUAAACUUAAACAGACUGAGAAAGUUGGCUUGGUUUGGGUUGGUUAUGAGACAAUCUAAGCCAUUCAAGAUCUGUGCUAAUCAUCCAUGUUUGUUGUUUCUGUUUCCGAAUAGAUUUUGGUUCUAUUUGAGGUGUUGAUUUGAUUUGUGAGAUUUAUUUAGGGUUUUUUUGUUGUUGAGAUUUUUCGCAAUAAGGUUAUCAUUCAAGUUCAGAAGAAGAAGGGAAGGAUUGUGUGAAAUCUGAACCCUAAAUUCCCAAUUUUAGGGUUCUUUUUUUAUACUAUGAAGCUCCAAAUGAUUAAAACAUGAUAUCUUCAUCUGAUGGUAUUUUACAGAGAUUUAUUUUUGGAUGUGAAGCUUCCACUAGUAAUGGAGGGAUCGAUUAUGAUCAAAUUACUGCCGAAGUGGAACAAAGGCUAUCAGGAGUUCGCACAAUGUAUCCCUUUGGGUCGGGUAUCUUCCACUAGAGUUGUUUUUUGAUUAUGUACUUACAUUUUGCGGGAGAUUUAAGCGGAUAAUCUAGAUAAACUAGUCCUUGGUGUUAUAACUUUAUUGUUGACAAUGCAUGGUGUCUUUUAUGUUGUGUUCUUUUACUGCCUCAGAGGCAUUAACCAUGGAAUUGUUAUUGCUAGGAUGGAUGCUAAAUCUUAAGUUGCAUUGAAUUAACUUUCUUAUGUUUGGGUGAAUCCAGAUCCUGGUUUGAAAACCAGGGAAAGCAGAUGAUGCUCCAGAGUGCGAUAAGUUCGCUAAGUAUUACCGCGAUGUUAUCCCAGAAAAUGGGUAUGUACUGCUAGGAUUUUAUAAUCUCAUUUUCUUCUCUUUCUUCUGAGCUGGUUGAAUUUUGGGGAUUGUUGAAGAAGAAUUCCAGGCAUAGAUGAAUGUUAGGACAGGGAUGCAGCUGCAAUUUUUUGGUGGUGGUUUUGAGCUUACCUAAGAAGAAUUUCACUACUGUGAAGGGAUAUAGUUAUGUUGAUUGAUUGGGUUGAUAACCAGCUCUAGCAGGCAGGAUUGAUUAUGAUCAAAUUACUGCCGAAGUGGAACAAAGGCUAUGAGGAGUUUGCGCUAUAUGGCCUUGUGCGUCAAGGUAUCUCCAACAAUCCAUGUGAAAGAUGAAGAUGUUAUUUGUCUCUUGUUCUAAAGGGCUGUUGUUCUUUGUAAACCAAUGAAUUCAUCUACAACUUGAUGUCACUGCGUCUUUUGAUGUUACUGUCAGUUCAGAAUUGAUUCGAACCUUCUAGGGAACGGAGGUUUUUGCAAGCAUUUCAUUUUCUUCAACUAACAAAGAAACUACUUCUGUUGGAGUCACUCUUCAUCUCGUAUCACCUCCGGCACCUCAGAUGUAUGGAGCCACGUUAUAGACUCGAUAUACUGCAUUUUUCAGAUGCCAUUGCAUACGACAAUCGAGUGGCAAGAAGCUAGGAAGGGUGGAACCUUUGAAUGGUAUAGAUCAGAAUCAUUAAUGGCAAGAAGCUCAUCUGUCUUUCAACCCGCAAUCAUAACCAUGUCGGAUAGUAACAGCUCCGACAAACAGCCGAUCCCAAAUAUUGAUUUCUCCAUGUCCAGAGUUGGAGAUUCAUGACGUUCCUUUCAAGGUGGUUGAAAAUUUCGAUCCUUGUCAUCCGAUUGUCGUUGGAAGUAUCAGUUCUAAAGAGGAUAAUGCGGGUUAUAUGCAGGCUAUUUUGCCUUCUGUAUUUUAUUUUUCUUAUUCUAAGUAUUGCCUUUUGACAAUUUUCAUUUUCCACUCGUUGAAAUAUGGUUAAAUUCAUAGAUAUGAAUUUGAAGUAGCCAUCCAUUAUUCGAUAUUUGAACAUGAACUAAUAGGACGACAUUUGUACCUGUUUCAUGUUAACUGAUUUAUGUUUACCUGUCUUUUUGAUCAUGUAUAUGUGUUCUCCUUUCAGGCGAGACUCAAGCGACAUAAGUUGCAUAUGAAACUGUUGAAAUCAGCAGACCCAGUCACUAUGUCAGCUGGUUGGAGACGUUACCAGAAAAAAACUAUUUAUGCCAGUGCACUCGACAAUGGACGGUAUGGAAUUGUCGACUUCAAUCCUGAACACAUGCACUGUCUUGCGAUGUUUUAGGGGGACCUUUCACCUCCACAGACCAGAAUUGCUGUCGUGUAUGGAACUAAGGAAGUGUUUCAGAUAGAAGCUAAGGCGGUCGUUCUUGACGUCAAGUCUCAUAUGAAUAAUGAAGAGAUGAGAGAUGUAAGGAAAACCUUACGAAAUCCUCGAUGAGAGGACUGCUGUUAUCAAGUUUAAAUCAAAAGAUAUUGAUGUUGUUGAAUUGAAGGUUCACCUAUUCAGACUUGGAGGAGAAUUUGGGGGAAGGUUAUUAAGGUGGAAAAAGGAAAGGGGACUGCUAGGAUUGAUGCACAUUUGAGAAGAAAAUUUGUAAGCGUGAUACUUUUAUCAUGCCUGUAUUUUGUCAAGUUGGAGCUCUCGCCACAAGGAGUUGGCAUUAAAGGCUGCUAUUCUGCAGAGAAGUUUUCUCCUGAUCUAUCUUGCUAGGAUCAUCAGCUUGUGCAAGGUCUCAAGUAACAUGUUUCUAGAUAAAGGCCUAUUGAGUUGUAGGUGUGAUCUGCACCGAAUUAUUGCUAUAUAAGUGGAAACAUAACUCUGAGACUGAGCUUUAGUGAGAAUACGGUACAUUAUAGGAUCUUGUAGGUUUUUUUUUCAUUUAACUUGGAUUGUACUUGAAGUUAAGUUUUUUUUCUCAGCAUAGAAAAAUAUUGUAUGUCAAUUACCAAAUUUAU